rnacentral:rRNA from 1 species
CCUACGGGCGGCAGCAGUGGGGAAUAUUGGGCAAUGGGCGCAAGCCUGACCCAGCAAAGCCGCGUGAAGGAAGACGGCUCUCGGGUUUUAAACUUCUUUUUUCAGGGGCGCAGCAAGCGACGGUCCCUGCGGAAUAAGCCACGGCUAACUACGAGCAAGCAGUCGCGGGAAUAAGGAGGGGGCAAGCGUUAUCCGGAUUCACUGGGUGUAAAGGGCGUGUAGGCGGGAAAGCAAGGCAGAUGUGAAAACGAUGGGUGCAAACUGUGGCCUGCAUUUGAAACUGUUGUUCUUGAGUACUGGAGAGGCAGGCGGAAUUCGUGGUGUAGCGGUGAAAUGCGUAGAUAUCAGGCAGAACACCGGUUGCGAAGGCAGUGUACUGGAGCACAACUGACGCUGAUGCGCGAAAGCGUGGGGAGCAAACAGGAUUAGAUACCCUAGUAGUC